UCAACUGUCCUGAUCGUCUUUUUAGGCUGGCCUCAGCCAGACAGUUGAGAUCGCCGGGGGCCCCCCCUCAGCCGUGGGCCCCUAUAAUCGUCACCACCUUUCACCCCACUAGCGACGGCCCUGAUCAGGGGCACUCUAAAUGCAGCAAACUGCGAUGCACUGUGUGUUCUGACAAUUUUCUAUCAUGGCUAACAUUAUUUUCUUUUAGCAAUAUGAGCUACAGUAGCUUAUCUAUGUGAUCAGACCAGAUGGGACAAAAAUUCACUUCCCACAUGCAUCAUUGAGCCUUGGCUGUCCAUAACCCUUACAUUGGUUCACUGGUUGUCUUUCCAUGAAUCAUUUUUGGCUCCUGUUAAUUUCUGACCCUGGGGUGUGUGUGGCAUGACUGUGGGAAAGAUUUUGUAAGUAAGGAGACAUCUAUGUGGGAGGAAGUUCUGAUGUUCAUUUUCCUGCUUGUGAG
ensembl:lncRNA